CGAGAAACAAUGAGAGAGAAAGAUGCAAGACCACUUGAGUUAAAGGAGCCAUCUUCCUGGCCACAGGGAACUCACCGGUCCUUCUCAUCCCACUGCCGGCUCUCUGCCCUGGAUCUCUGACCCUCCCAUGCAUAAUUCACCAGAUUUUUAUUGAGUGCCCACUGAGGGCCAGGUCCUGUUCAUGCACUGGGAACACAGACAAAAAUCCCUGCCCGGGUGGAGCCCACAUGUUCUUGGGAGGAGACAGACAGUAAACAAGAUACAUGAGUAAAUGGCAUAGUAGUUAGAAAGAUAAGAAUAUAGAGAAAAAUAAAGCCAGGCAAAGAGAGGAGAGGGGGUGGAGUGGAAUGUUGGACAUGAUGAUGAGGAAAGGACUCACAGGGAAGGUGACAUUUGAGCAAAGACCUGAAGGAGGUGAGGGAGGGUGUCAUGUGGGUCCCUAGGGGAAGGUGCUCUAGGCAGAGAGAACAGCUGGUGCAAAGGCCCUGAGGUAGGGUUGUGCCUGGCCUGGGUGAGGAAGUCCAAGGAGGCCAGCAUGGCUGGAGUGCAGUGUGUGUGGUGUGUAUGUAUUGAGGGGGGAGUUGAGCAGGAGAUGAGGCCUCGGGUUGGGGGAAGCAGAUCAGUUGGGGCCUUGUGGACCAUGCGGAGGCCUCUGGCUUAUACCCUGGGUGGGACGGGAGCCACAGGAGCGCUCUCAGCAGAGGAGGGACAGGAUCUGACUCAGGGUCCCUCUGACUGCAUAUAGAGGAGAGACUGUGGGGGGCAGGAGACCAGCAAAGAGGCUACUGCAAAGUCAAGAUGAGAGACGAUGGUGGACAGGACCAGGCCGGGGGCAGAGGAGGGACUGAGAAGUGGAUAGGUUUGUAUCCUUCUGGCCUCUGUCUCCAGUCCUGUCCCCUCUUGAUGUAGCCACCAGGUCUUCCUAAAGCACAGAUCUCAUCCUGUCCUCCCCCUGUUUGGACCAUCCAUGGUUCCCGGGGCCCAGGGGACACAGCUAAGCCUCCUGAGCCUGGUGUUUGACCCCCUGCAGGGACUGGCCACUGCCGAACUCCCCUGCCCCAACUCCCACCUCUCCCCACCUCUCCGGGGCUGUGUAUAUCUUCCCAAUUCUCCCCUCUGUGCUUCCUGCCCACCCUCCUCCCAGCCAUCGGCUGCUCCAGGGCGGCGGUGGGGAAAGUGGUUAGCCUUUGGCAGAGCCACCGUGGUUUCCUGAUGGAAUGGAUCUGGAAUUUGAGAGAGAGGAGUCAAGGGUGAGUGCUUUGGCAGCGCUCUCUCUUCCCUCCAGGCCUUUGUGUCUGCUGGGCCUCGGCCUGGCGCACCCCUCUGCCUGCCUCCUUUUUCCCGCCAACUGCCACUCAUCAUCUGCUCUCUGCUCAAAUGACUCUUCCUGCAGCAGGAAACCUUUAAGGGCUUCCCAGCUGGGGUUACUCCCUCUUGCUGGGUGGUCCCCCAAGUGCCCUUUCCUUUUUGAAAGCAUCCAGCUCUGUACACUUGAUCAUUGUUAUCUGUAUGGCGUUUGUCUUCCCCAUCUGAGAAGGGAAGGGGGUGCUAGACCAGGCUCCAGAGCCAGGCCGCCUGCGUUACACUCCGGCUCUCUCACCUGGUGCCAGAGUGACUCUGGGCAAAUUACUUACCCUCUCUGGGCCUUGGUUUCCUCAUCUGUCAAAUGGGGCUAUAAUAGUACGUCCCUCAGGUGGGUAUUCAGAAGAUUAAGUUAGUUCACAUAAAGUGCUUAGAACAGAGCCAGACACUUAGUAAAGACUUGGUAGACGGAGGGCUACUUGUUAUUUUUCUUCUCACUCCCCAUUGGAAAGCCUCUGGGCUGUGCAGAAGUGGGUGGGUGUGUACUGUUCACGUCAGGGCUUAGUAUAUCUGUUUCAGAAUUGGCCUCAGUGAAUCCAAUGUCCUAAGACAGUGCUCUUUCAAACUUUGUUGACUGCGAUCUGCAGGAGGAAAUAUAUUUUCUAUGUUGACCUAAUAUAGUCACACACAAAUAGAAAACUGAAACACAUGUUUUCUAGCACCAAUCUGUUUUUUUAAAAAAAUGGAUGUGUAAUUCACAUAACAUAAAUUUAGGCCUUUUAAAGCGUGCCGUUCACUUGUGCAACAACUUGUGCAACCACUGCCUCUGUCUAGUUCCACAACAGUUUUAUCACCCUAAAAGGAAACCCCUCACCCACUCAGCAGUCUCUGCCCAUCCCACCCAGGCUCUGGGCACCCACCAAUUUGCUUUCUGUCUCUAUGGACCAGUAUAUUCUUAUUACAUAUGAUGCGCUCUGAUAUUUUCUAUUCUGUUUUAUUCCAUUUCAAUAAAAAAAUCGGUCCAGGCCCACCAAACUGGUUCCCCAGCCCAUUCAUGUGCUGCACAUUGGAAUCACCCGGAGAGCCUUAAUGGCCUCACCCCAGAGAUUCUGAAGUGGUUUCGGGAUUUCUAGAAGCUCCCAGCUCACCUGUUCUCCAGGACCAGCCCUGCCCUUCCGGCUGGGGCCCAGUCCCAGGCCCCAGGAGGCCAAGCCCCUCACCUGUCCUGGCCCCGGAGAAGCUGCCCCGCCACCUGUCCCCCUUCCCUGGCCUGGUGGGGCCUGGCUGAGGGGCAAGACUGAGCCACGGGGGAAGGGGGAAUCCGUACCUGCUGCUGCUUCAUCUGUCUUGGCUAACCCCUGUUCCCCCUGAAACCCCAGCCAUACUCGAAGAGUUCCCAAAGCCUGAGACCAGGGCCAUUUGGCCCCAGCUCCCUGCCUGGUCCUGCCAUUGCGAGUACGUGUUAUUUAUUACCUGGAGGCCUGUCCCGUCCCCACCCCGCCCCCAUAAAGCAUUGUUUACACCUGUG
ensembl:lncRNA